CGGCCCAGAUUCCUACGGGAGGCAGCAGUGGGGAAUUUUGGACAAUGGGGGCAACCCUGAUCCAGCCAUGCCGCGUGUGCGAAGAAGGCCUUCGGGUUGUAAAGCACUUUUGGCAGGAAAGAAACGGCGCCGGCUAAUAUCUGGCGUAACUGACGGUACCUGCAGAAUAAGCACCGGCUAACUACGUGCCAGCAGCCGCGGUAAUACGUAGGGUGCAAGCGUUAAUCGGAAUUACUGGGCGUAAAGCGUGCGCAGGCGGUUCGGAAAGAAAGAUGUGAAAUCCCAGGGCUCAACCUUGGAACUGCAUUUUUAACUCCCGAACUAGAGUGUGUCAGAGGGGGGUGGAAUUCCACGUGUAGCAGUGAAAUGCGUAGAUAUGUGGAGGAACACCGAUGGCGAAGGCAGCCCCCUGGGAUAACACUGACGCUCAUGCACGAAAGCGUGGGGAGCAAACAGGAUUAGAUACCCUGGUAGUCCACGCCCUAAACGAUGUCAACUAGCUGUUGGGUUCUUCGGAGCUUGGUAGCGCAGCUAACGCGUGAAGUUGACCGCCUGGGGAGUACGGUCGCAAGAUUAAAACUCAAAGGAAUUGACGGGGACCCGCACAAGCGGUGGAUGAUGUGGAUUAAUUCGAUGCAACGCGAAAAACCUUACCUACCCUUGACAUGUCUGGAAUCCCGAAGAGAUUUGGGAGUGCUCGAAAGAGAACCGGAACACAGGUGCUGCAUGGCCGUCGUCAGCUCGUGUCGUGAGAUGUUGGGUUAAGUCCCGCAACGAGCGCAACCCUUGUCAUUAGUUGCUACGAAAGGGCACUCUAAUGAGACUGCCGGUGACAAACCGGAGGAAGGUGGGGAUGACGUCAGGUCCUCAUGGCCCUUAUGGGUAGGGCUUCACACGUCAUACAAUGGUCGGGACAGAGGGCAGCCAACCCGCGAGGGGGAGCCAAUCCCAGAAACCCGAUCGUAGUCCGGAUUGCAGUCUGCAACUCGACUGCAUGAAGUCGGAAUCGCUAGUAAUCGCGGAUCAGCAUGUCGCGGUGAAUACGUUCCCGGGUCUUGUACACACCGCCCGUCACACCAUGGGAGUGGGUUCUACCAGAAGUAGGUAGCCUAACCGUAAGGAGGGCGCUUAC
rnacentral:rRNA from 1 species